rnacentral:lncRNA from 1 species
AGCAGUUCCAGCAGGAGCAGCAACAACAGCAGCAGCAACAGCAGCAGCAGCAGCAGCAGCAGCAGCAGCAGCAGUGCCAGCAGCAGCAGCAGCAGCAGCAGAGGAGAAGGAGAAAAAACAGGAGGAGCAGGAGGAGCGGGAAGAGCAGGAAGAGCAAGAGGACCAGGAGGACCAGGAACACCAGGAGGAGGAGGAGAAGAAAUAAUGAGUGAUUGUGUCUCCGUUUAUGGAAAGAGUUUGAUGGGGUACUAAUGUUGCAUCUUUGAAGAAAUGUGUACUCAAAGAAUUACUCAUGUAGAAUCUCACUGUGCUGCCAUCUGGGACAUCAAGUUCAUUUGUGAACCCAUGCUUCCUCUCAGCAUCAUAAGAAGAUCACUACAGAAGCUGAUCACCACACUUAGCUAGUGGCAAGGAGACCGACCUGAGAGAGACUGCUGGAAUAAAUUUGGAAUUGGGUGAGAAAAGGAUGCUAGGCUUACACCUUUGACAUUGACCUCUAACAUAUUUGAAAGAAGUAGCAGCACUUGGCCUCACAUCUCAUAUCUCUGCCAAGGAAGAUGAUAGAGCUCAGGAGUAUUCCACCUACAGCUUGCAUGAAAUGUGGCAUAUCUGACCACUAAGUGAAAAAUGCCCUUGACCUUGCCUGAAACCAGGACCCUGUCCAAAUGUGGAAAAGCAGGGCAAUGAGAAGUUAGGCGUCACUUAGACAAGAAGGAGCAGCAGAAGAAGCAAAGGCAGAGGAUGAGGAGGAGGAAAGAACAAGCAGAAGGAACAGGAAGACCAGGAGGACCAAAGCAACCAGGAAGAGGAGUAGAAAAAAUGAUGAGUGACUGUGUCUAAGUUUAUGGGAAGAGUUUGAUGGGGUAGAAAUACUGGUAAACAAUACUUAAACAUGAAAUUCCAGUAAAAUUAGUGAAAUAUAUCAGAAAGCCUUCAAAGUC